rnacentral:rRNA from 1 species
ACCACGAGACCGAUAGCGAACAAGUACUGUGAGAGAAAGUUGAAAAGAACUUUGAAGGAAGAGUUCAAGAGUACGUGAAACCGUUCAGGGGUAAACCUAACCCAAAAGAUCGAACGGGGAGAUUCAUCGUUAGCGGCGUUGGCUUCGCGUCGGUGGGCGAUGUCCCGCGGUUUCUCGCGCGGACACACUACCGUGCGCGCAUGACCGGCGUCGUCGUCGUGCACUUCUCCUUUAGUAGAACGUCGCGACUCGCUGGGUGUCGGUCUACGGCCCGGGUGUGGUGACUGUCGCGUCGCCGGUAAAACGGCACGCGGCAAAUCUCCUGACUCCCGGCCAGUUGCCCGGCGGUACUCGCACGGUAUCAGGCCGCAGCUUCUGCGUCAAGCCCGUCGCAAGCGCGCGCCACGGUUACUCGGAGGUACGGACCUGGUGCCGUCCCCGGUCCUGGCCCGCUGUUGGCCGACGGUGACCCUUUGACAGGCCUUACGGGGCUGCGUAAGGGAGCGCAAGUCAUUCCACGUACGCCUUAAUACCGGUCGGCGACGCUACUGCUUUGGGUACUCUUAGGACC